rnacentral:rRNA from 1 species
AGAGGGUGAGAAUCCCGUACGUGACCGGUGACCGAUCCCAUGUGAAACCCCUUCGACGAGUCGAGUUGUUUGGGAAUGCAGCUCAAAAUGGGUGGUAAAUUUCAUCUAAAGCUAAAUACCGGCUGGAGACCGAUAGCGCACAAGUAGAGUGAUCGAAAGAUGAAAAGCACUUUGGAAAGAGAGUCAAAAAGUACGUGAAAUUGUUGAAAGGGAAGCGCUUGCAACCAGACCUGUCCGYMGGYGAUCAGCCGCCGUUCUCGGUGGUGCACUCGCAUGCGAUCAGGCCAGCAUCGGUUCGGGCGGUCGGAUAAAGGCCUUGGGAAUGUAGCUCCUCUCGGGGAGUCUUAUAGCCCUCGGUGCAAUGCGGCCAGCCBGGACCGAGGACCGCGCUUCGGCUAGGAUGCUGGCGUAAUGGUUGUAAGCGACCCGUCUUGAAACACGGACCAAGGAGUCUAACAUCUAUGCGAGUGUUUGGGUGUCAAACCCACACGCGGAAUGAAAGUGAACGGAGGUGAGAACCCCUUAGGGCGCAUCAUCGACCGAUCCAGAUGUCUUCGGAUGGAUUUGAGUAYGAGCAUAGCUGUUGGGACCCAGAUGGUGAACUAUGCCUGAAUAGGGUGAAGCCAGAGGAAACUCUGGUGGAGGCUCGCAGCGGU